rnacentral:rRNA from 1 species
GUCUGAUGCAGCAACGCCGCGUGGAGGAUGACACAUUUCGGUGCGUAAACUCCUUUUAUAUGAGAAGAUAAUGACGGUAUUAUAUGAAUAAGCACCGGCUAACUCCGUGCCAGCAGCCGCGGUAAUACGGGGGGUGCAAGCGUUACUCGGAAUCACUGGGCGUAAAGAGCAUGUAGGCGGAUUAAUAAGUUUGAAGUGAAAUCCUAUAGCUUAACUAUAGAACUGCUUUGAAAACUGUUAAUCUAGAAUGUGGGAGAGGUAGAUGGAAUUUCUGGUGUAGGGGUAAAAUCCGUAGAGAUCAGAAGGAAUACCGAUUGCGAAGGCGAUCUACUGGAACAUUAUUGACGCUGAGAUGCGAAAGCGUGGGGAGCAAACAGGAUUAGAUACCCUGGUAGUCCACGCCCUAAACGAUGUACACUAGUUGUUGUGAGACUUGAUCUUGCAGUAAUGCAGUUAACACAUUAAGUGUACCGCCUGGGGAGUACGGUCGCAAGAUUAAAACUCAAAGGAAU